CCCGCUGAACUUAAGCAUAUCAAUAAGCGGAGGAAAAGAAACUAACAAGGAUUCCCCUAGUAACGGCGAGUGAAGCGGGAAGAGCUCAAAUUUGAAAUCUGGCAGCCUUUGGUUGUCCGAGUUGUAAUCUAUAGAAACGUUUUCCGCGUUGGCUCAUGUACAAGUCUGCUGGAAUGCAGCGUCAUAGAGGGUGAGAAUCCCGUCCUUGACAUGAACUACCAGUGCUUUGUGAUACGUUUUCAACGAGUCGAGUUGUUUGGGAAUGCAGCUCAAAAUGGGUGGUAAAUUCCAUCUAAAGCUAAAUAUUGGCGAGAGACCGAUAGCGAACAAGUACCGUGAGGGAAAGAUGAAAAGCACUUUGGAAAGAGAGUUAAAUAGUAUGUGAAAUUGUUGAAAGGGAAACGAUUGAAGUCAGUCGUGGGUCUUGCAUUCAGCUGGUGCUGCCAGUGUACUUGCUUGACCCGGGGUCAACAUCGGUUUUGACUGUCGGAAAAGGUUGCGGGGAACGUAGCACUCUCGGGUGAACUUAUAGCCCCUCAACGUAUACGAUGGUUGGGACCGAGGAACGCAGCUUGCCUUUAUGGCCGGGGUUCGCCCACGUACAAGCUUAGGAUGUUGACAUAAUGGCUUUAAACGACCCGUCUUGAAACACGG
rnacentral:rRNA from 1 species